UGCCCAGCCAUUAACCGAUUAUCAUAUACAAAUAAUCCGCCAGAGAAUUACGGGCAACAGCCUAAAACUCCAAGGACUUGACGGUGUCUUACACAACCUAGAGGAGCCUGUCCUAUAAUCGAUACCCCACGCUUUACCUCACCUUUUCUAGAAACUCCAGCCUAUAUACCGCCGUCCCCGUUCACCCCAUGAGGGGCCGUGAACAAAAUACUUCAACCACUAAAACAUCAGGUCAAGGUGUAGCACAUGAACAGGAAGAGAUGGGCUACAUUCUUUUUCAAGCAUACCACAACAAUAUGAAACAAGCGCCACAAGGUGGAUUUAGCAGUAAAACGGACAAGAGUGUCCGAUUGAAGAAGCUCUAAGACACGCACAC
rnacentral:rRNA from 1 species